rnacentral:rRNA from 1 species
UACAGAGGGGGCAAGCGUUGUUCGGAAUUACUGGGCGUAAAGGGCGCGUAGGCGGCCUUCUAAGUCAGACGUGAAAUCCCUCGGCUCAACCGGGGAACUGCGUCUGAUACUGGGUGGCUUGAAUCCGGGAGAGGGAUGCGGAAUUCCAGGUGUAGCGGUGAAAUGCGUAGAUAUCUGGAGGAACAUCGGUGGCGAAGGCGGCAUCCUGGACCGGUAUUGACGCUGAGGCGCGAAAGCCAGGGGAGCAAACGGG